rnacentral:rRNA from 1 species
UACGUAGGGUGCAAGCGUUGUCCGGAAUUAUUGGGCGUAAAGAGCUCGUAGGCGGUCUGUUGCGUCGGCUGUGAAAACCCGGGGCUCAACUCCGGGCCUGCAGCCGAUACGGGCAGACUAGAGUUCGGCAGGGGAGACUGGAAUUCCUGGUGUAGCGGUGAAAUGCGCAGAUAUCAGGAGGAACACCGGUGGCGAAGGCGGGUCUCUGGGCCGAUACUGAUGCUGAGGAGCGAAAGCGUGGGGAGCGAACAGG